rnacentral:rRNA from 1 species
AUUGAACGCUGGCGGCAUGCCUUACACAUGCAAGUCGAACGGCAGCACGGGAGCAAUCCUGGUGGCGAGUGGCGAACGGGUGAGUAAUAUAUCGGAACGUUGCCCAGUCGUGGGGAUAACGUAGCGAAAGCUACGCUAAUACCGCAUACGAUCUAUGGAUGAAAGCGGGGAUCGCAAGACCUCGCGCGAUUGGAGCGGCCGAUAUCAGAUUAGGUAGUUGGUGAGGUAAAGGCUCACCCAAGCCGACGAUCUGUAGCUGGUCUGAGA